rnacentral:tRNA from 1 species
GCAGAUAUAGCUCAGAGGAAGAGCGCCGGAUUUAGCCUCCGGAGGUCGUGGGUUCGAUUCUCACUAUUUGCGACA